rnacentral:rRNA from 1 species
CCUACGGGUUGCACCAGUGGGGAAUAUUGGACAAUGGGCGAAAGCCUGAUCCAGCAAUGCCGCGUGUGUGAAGAAGGUCUUCGGAUUGUAAAGCACUUUCGACGGGGACGAUGAUGACGGUACCCGUAGAAGAAGCCCCGGCGAACUUCGUGCCAGCGGCCGCGGUAAUACGAAGGGGGCUAGCGUUGCUCGGAAUGACUGGGCGUAAAGGGCGCGUAGGCGGUUUAUGCAGUCAGAUGUGAAAUCCCCGGGCUUAGCCUGGGAACUGCAUUUGAGACGCAUAGACUAGAGGUCGAGAGAGGGUUGUGGAAUUCCCAGUGUAGAGGUGAAAUUCGUAGAUAUUGGGAAGAACACCGGCGGCGAAGGCGGCAACCUGGCUCGAUACUGACGCUGAGGCGCGAGAGCGUGGGGAGCAAACAGGAUUAGAUACCCCCGUAGUC